rnacentral:rRNA from 1 species
GAUGAACGCUAGCGGCAGGCUUAAUACAUGCAAGUCGAACGGUAACUGGAGUAGCAAUACUACAGCAAGAGUGACGUACGAGUGCGUAACACGUAUGCAACCUACCCUUUACAGGAGGAUAGCUCGGGGAAACUCGGAAUUAACCCUCCAUAACAUCAUGUUGUGGCAUCACAAUAUGAUUAAAACUCAGGCGGUAAAGGAUGGGCAUGCGUCUGAUUAGUUAGUUGGCGGGGUAACGGCCCACC